rnacentral:rRNA from 1 species
GUGGGGAAUCUUGCGCAAUGGGCGAAAGCCUGACGCAGCGACGCCGCGUGGGUGAUGAAGGCCUUCGGGUUGUAAAGCCCUGUGGGGAGGGACGAAUAACACAUACCUAAUACGUAUGUAGAUGACGGUACCUCCUUAGCAAGCACCGGCUAACUCUGUGCCAGCAGCCGCGGUAAGACAGAGGGUGCAAACGUUGUUCGGAAUUACUGGGCGUAAAGCGCGUGUAGGCGGCUUGGAUAGUCGGGUGUGAAAGCCCGGGGCUCAACCCCGGAAGUGCAUUCGAUACUGCCAAGCUGGAGUCCCGGAGAGGAUGGUGGAACUCUCGGUGUAGAGGUGAAAUUCGUAGAUAUCGAGAAGAACAUCGGUGGCGAAGGCGGCCAUCUGGACGGUGACUGACGCUGAGACGCGAAAGCGUGGGGAGCAAACAGGAUUAGAAACCCGAGUAGUCC